GACGAACGCUGGCGGCGUGCUUAACACAUGCAAGUCGAACGGAAAGGCCCUGCUUUUGUGGGGUGCUCGAGUGGCGAACGGGUGUGUAACACGUGUGUAACCUGCCCUUGACUUUGUGAUAACUUCUGGAAACUGGGGCUAAUACCGGAUAGGAGCUCCUGCUGCUUGGUGGUGGUUGGUAAGUUUCGGCGGUUGGGGAUGGACUCGCGGCUUAUCAGCUUGUUGGUUGGGUAGUGGCUUACCAAGGCUUUGACGGGUAGCCGGCCUGAGAGGGUGACCGGCGACAAUGGGACGGAGAGACGGCCCAGACGGGUACGGGAGGCAGAAGUGGGGAAGAGUGCACAAUGGGCGGAAGGCUGAUGAAGCAACGCCGCGUGCGGGAUGACGGCCUUCGGGUUGUAAACCGAUUUCGCCUGUGACGAAGCGUGAGUGACGGUAAUGGGUAAAGAAGCAACGGCUAACUACGUG
rnacentral:rRNA from 1 species